GAAAGACCCUAUUGAGCUUUACUGUAGGCUGAAAUUGUCUGCGGGCUAUAUCUGCGCAGGAUAGGUGGGAGACUUUGAAGUCGGGAUUUUGGUUCCGAUGGAGUCAACGUUGAGAUACCACUCUGAUGUAGCUAGCAUACUAACCUGAUUCCAUUAUCUGGGUCGGGGACAGUUUCAGUUGGGCAGUUUGACUGGGGCCGUCGCCUCCCAAAGAGUAACGG
rnacentral:rRNA from 1 species